ensembl:snRNA U6 U6 spliceosomal RNA
AUGCUUGCUUCGGCAGCACAUUUACUAAAAUUGGAAUAAUAUAGAGAGAUUAGGGUGGCCCCUGUACAAGAAUGACAUGCAAAUUCACAAAGUGCUCCAUGGUCUA